GGAAUAUUGGACAAUGGGGGCAACCCUGAUCCAGCGAUGCCGCGUGAGUGAAGAAGGCCCUCGGGUCGUAAAGCUCUUUAGGUUGGGAAGAAGUGUACUCGGUGAAUAUCCGGGUAUGUUGACGGUACCGACAGAAUAAGCACCGGCAAACUCUGUGCCAGCAGCCGCGGUAAUACAGAGGGUGCGAGCGUUAAUCGGAGUUACUGGGCGUAAAGGGCGCGUAGGCGGUAAGAUGUGUGUGGUGUGAAAGCCCCGGGCUUAACCUGGGAAGUGCAUCGCAAACUAUCUAACUGGAGUAUAUGAGAGGGUGGCGGAAUUUCCGGUGUAGCGGUGAAAUGCGUAGAGAUCGGAAGGAACGUCAAUGGCGAAGGCAGCCACCUGGCAUAAUACUGACGCUGAGGCGCGAAAGCGUGGGGAGCGAA
rnacentral:rRNA from 1 species